UUGAACGCUGGCGGCAUGCUUUACACAUGCAAGUCGAACGGUAACAGGCCUUCGGGUGCUGACGAGUGGCGAACGGGUGAGUAAUGCAUCGGAACGUGCCCAAUCGUGGGGGAUAACGUAGCGAAAGUUACGCUAAUACCGCAUACGCCCUGAGGGGGAAAGCAGGGGAUCUUCGGACCUUGUGCGAAUGGAGCGGCCGAUGUCAGAUUAGCUAGUUGGUGGGGUAAAGGCCUACCAAGGCGACGAUCUGUAGCGGGUCUGAGAGGAUGAUCCGCCACACUGGGACUGAGACACGGCCCAGACUCCUACGGGAGGCAGCAGUGGGGAAUUUUGGACAAUGGGCGAAAGCCUGAUCCAGCCAUGCCGCGUGCGGGAAGAAGGCCUUCGGGUUGUAAACCGCUUUCAGCCGGAAAGAAAUCGCCACUUCUAAUACGAGUGGUGGAUGACGGUACCGGAAGAAGAAGCACCGGCUAACUACGU
rnacentral:rRNA from 1 species